rnacentral:lncRNA from 1 species
AAGUGGAGAGGGAGUCCUACUCGUCUUCUUCAACCUCCCAUCCUUGUGAGCAUCGUACAUGAAUCUCAAGCUCUGCAAAAUCGACUCCCUCCGCAUACCAGCCGGACUCAACACAACCUCAUCAUCACUAUCCUCCUCAUCCUUAUAGGUGUUCCGUGUUUUCGCCAUAGGGUGCUCCGCCUCUUCCUCCUCCGUAUUCCUUGCUCUCUUCCUUGACUCCUUAUCCUAAAUAAACAGGCAAAUCCAGACAUUUAGGUAAACUUCCUAGGCGGCGGAUUAUUCCGAUAGCUAAAGGGUAUAGAGAUAGAAGCAAAUCAAUAAAGAUUGAAUUGGAUUGGUUCGGUUGUUUAGAUGUAUUAGAUAACAAAUUAGGGGUUUGAGAAAUAUAAGGAGAUGACGAGAGAGAGAGAGAGCGAACCUGUUGCCCGGAAUGGUCUGUCGUACCCACCUUCAUCUUCGGCGGCUCUUCUUUCGCCCAUCAAACAAUCGAAAUUGAUACAAUACAGCAGAGUGAGAAGAGACAAGCUUCAAUUUGCAUCUGCGAUUUCGCUUCAACCUAUUUUGCCUAUUUCACGAUUUUCUCUCUCUGUUUUUUUUUUUUUAACAGGUCACGGUUUUAUCUCUUCCGGUAUUCUAUCCAAAACUACGAAGUGCCCGAACUACAAAAUUUCAGUUUUCAACAAAAUUAUUAAGGGUAUUUCCCUUUUUUUUUUAUAAUUUUUAAGAAAUCAAAAUAGUCUUUAGCUGUAUUAAUUUAGUCAAUUUGACCAUUAUAGUUCAAAUUUUCAAAAACCUAAUUUUUGCCCUUGAUUUAUUAAAUAUACAAAAUUACUAGGAAAUACAUCAAUAAUCAACUAUUUACCACCCAAACCUAGUCUCUAGCGUCAUAGCUCGGGUCUGAAUCGAGCACCGCAUCGACUCACCAGUGAAGCUGGCUUAUUCUCUGAUAGUGUUUGAAUUUUGUGAAGAUAACGAUAGAAUUGGUAGACCGCUUACAUGGUAGUUUCUUUUAGGUCGUUUUUGAGCUAUCUAACAUGACUUCAUUCUCUUGGCCCUGCGGGUCAUGUUGUAAUUGCCUUUUUCAUUUUGGUUAUCAAAGGCUUCCCAUAUGGUGUAGGUCGCGAUGAGUAAAGCAAGUGCCUCCAAAGCAGGCCACACAAAGUGUAGAAAUUAGCCCAAAACAACUUGCUAAAAACCCAAAACAAGACUUCAACCCAGGCCAACAAGAAGAAAGAGAGAUGGGCAUGCACCAAAAUUCACCCAGCCCACCCAAGUGCAUGUUGCGCAAGACCACCAAUAACUCGAGCAUAACAAUAUGGUCUUAGAUGUGGUAUUACAAGAUCAGUGUUGUCUAGUGAGUGGUAGCCAAGCGAGGAGCAUAAAGCGUCAUCAACAGUGAGAGAAAACAACUUGUGUCUCACAUUCCAAUUAGAAAGACAUGUCAGAAUAACUUGAAUAAACUUGUGGUUCCUGUAUGAAUCAGAUGGUAAGGGGGAAACAUUAAGGAUCCGAUGAUGUAUAUUCCAGUCAGCAUCAUCAAUGAAGUGUCCUGUUAAGACCAUAUAAUAAUCCUGGCUCUGAUGGCUUGAGCUAGCCCACAAGUUGACUGAAAGACUGAUCUUGGAGUUCAUGGAAGCGAUAAGUUUGCAGAUGCUUUGCUCCUUUGAUUUAUACACAGCCAAACACUGAUGUUCAAUAUUUUCGGGAGGGGGUUCGCUGAUAACAUAGUUUAGCUUUAGCAUGCACACUUCUUGAUCGAUCAGGGGAGAUGGAGUAACAAUCUGUCUGGACGGAACUAGAGAGGGAGUGCUCCUCUUCUUCAACCUCCCAUCCUUAUGAGCUGCAUACAUAAACCUUCAACUCUUCAUAAUCGACUCCCUCCUCAUAGCAGACAGACUUAACACAAUCUCAUCAUCACUAUCGUCAACUUCAUCAUCAUCCUUAUAUGAUUUUUGUAUCUUGGUAAUGUGGUACUUCCCCUCCUCCUCCUCAUCCCUUGCACUCUUCCUUGACUCAUCCUAAACAAACCGGCAUUAUUCAGAACUACAAAAUCUAGAAAUUCAAGGUAAACCGUAAAUUAACCUUCCUUAAGCAUGAACAAGAUUAUUGCGAGAAUUAAAUAGAUAUAUAAUCAAAUAAAAUGAAUCGCAUGGGUUUGGUUUUAUGUAUAUUAUUAAUUUUUUAUACACAAUUAGGGUUAGAGUACAACGUUCUAGUCGUUUAGAGAUCUAAACGGAGACGUUUAGAGAUCUAAACGGAGAGAGAGAACCUGUUGGCCGGACUUGUACGUCGGUUGCAUCUUCACCUUCAGCUUUUUGCUCGCUCUGACCGAUCAAACAAUCGAAAUUGAUACAAUACCAAAAAGAUGGUGAUAGGGCCGAUCUGCUUUGAGGGGUUCGUAGCGGAAAAAGAUUGGGACCUUCGUAUUUAUGUAAAAAUAUACUGCCGCUGUAUGUAUAUAUAAGAACCUUCAUGAGAUUGAUAGAUAACAUACGAGAGAGAAAAUCCUAAAAAAAAGAAAGAAAGAGAAAAUAAGGAUGUUUACAUCCCACACUUAUUUAGGAAUAAGGAUUAUGUGUAGUUUAUAAUUUUAUAUGCAGGAUAGAAUACAUUGUUUAUUUUUCUAAUUUAUUAAUUUUUUUGUUAUUUACAAUUAAGUGUGGCUAUUGAGACCUCUAAAUUUGCUCAAUAUUCUCUCAACACCUCCAUUUUACUUUUACAUACAAACAUUUGCUCAUUAAACCUUGUUUCAAAUUUCUGAAAUAGUCUUUUUAUGUAAUUCACAUAUAUUUUAGGGCAUGUUUACUAACUUGGAAUCAAAUUAAUAUAUUACUCAUUACACAUCUUACUCGCUCACUAGGUCUCCUAUUUUUUUUUCUUUUUCAUGCAAACCUCCAUUUCUUGAUUUUAUUUAUUUAUUUAUUUUUGGAUCAAAUUAUAAGAAAUAAUUUUCAAUGACAUCAAUUUCAGAGAAUCAUCAAAAGUACUUUUAUCUUAAAAAAGAAAAGAAAAAAGAAACAAGGUAUUGUGUCACAAAAUUAUUUUCUAUCGAUCAUCGAAAGAAUGUUCUUAUUACAUCCAUUUUUUUCUUUUCUGUUUUACAUAUAUAUACAUAUUCUUCGUUUAUAUUUUUUUUGUUCUCUACGUUUAUAUUUUUUUUGAAAGUUCUCUCUACGUUUAUAUGGUAAAUUAUUUUACUUUAUUUUUUUAAGUAAUUGAUAGAUCAUGCUUUGUGUAAAAAUACUUUUUCACCUUGCAUAUGCGUGCAACAUGUAUGACCGAUAACAUAAUUUUUUCUGUCACAGGAUCAAUAUUACUCAUAAUUUUAGUUCUUAUUAUAUAUAUACUAUAUAUAAAUGGUUUAAUAAGGAUGCAGUAAAAUUAGAAAAUGAAAAUUAAUAAUAAAAUAAUAAAUGCAAUCCACUAUUAUUGAAUUGAAAAGUCUAGAAAGAUCAAAAUAAUAUUUCAUUUUAUAUAUAUAAUUAUUGCCUUUAAUAGUCAUUUUUUUAAGAGUAAAUGACCAUUUACUACUAAUUUAACUUAUUUUAGCCAAUUUCAAUGAAAAUCUCUUUACCAACCUCAUUCCAAUGAAUUUUAAUAAAAUGACGUCAUUACCCUUGACCUCAUUUAACUCUCUUUCUCUGUUUCUCACUUUCUCCUCUCUUUAUCCCGAUCAAAAACUCUCUCUCUCUCUCUCUCACACAUCAGGCAUCGCCGACGACGGUCGAGAUCGAGCAGCCUCCGAUGAGUCGCUCCACCACAUCCUCUGAAAGGUCUAACAGCCUCGUCGCUGUCUGUCGGCAUGGGAUCCGAAUCCGAUCACAAAGACCAGGCCGACACUGACGAGAAAAAGAGCGGCGGCGGAUGACGGAGGUAGGGAGACAACGAUCUCCUCGACGGUAGACUUGGUGAGGAUGGAGAUGUUGCCGUCGGCAGCGUAGUGCUACAGAGAUUGGAGAAGGUGUGGCCGAAUCUGUGAAGGUUUAGAGUGAAGUGACUGACAAUCUCCUCGGCGGCGGAUUGCUGCAGAGAUGCCGGAUCUGUGAAGGUUUUAAGUGAAGCGACGUUUACUACCCCUAGUACCCCUAGUAAAAGUUUACUAAGGGUAGUAAACUUUAUUUUUUCGCAUCUAAAUUGAUUUUUCUCCUUUUAAAUGUGAAUUAUGGCAUUGGAGCUACUGUUUUGCAAGUUUACUACCCCCAGUACUUUUACUGGGGGUAGUAAACUUUAUUUUUUCGCAUCUAAGUUGAUUUUUCUCCUUUUAAAUAUGAAUUAUGGCAUUGGAGCAACUGUUUUGCAAGUUUACUACCCCCAGUAAAGUUUACUAGGGGUAGUAAACUUUAUUUUUUCGUAUUUAAGUUGAUUUUUCUCCUUUUAAAUGUGAAUUAUGGCAUUGGAGCUACUGUUUUGCAAGUUUACUACCCCCAACAGAAGUUUACUAGGGGUAGUAAACUUCAUUUUUCUGCAUCUAAGUUGAUUUUUCACUGUUUUAAGAUGUAUAAUGGUCAUGGAGAAACUUUAUUUUGAGUUUACUACCCUCCGCGUACCAGCCGGACUCAACACAACCUCAGCAUCACUAUCCUCCUCAUCCUUAUAGGUGUUCCGUGUUUUCGCCAUAGGGUGCUCCGCCUCUUCCUCCUCCGUAUUCCUUGCUCUCUUCCUUGACUCCUUAUCCUAAAUAAACAGGCAAAUCCAGACAUUUAGGUAAACUUCCUAGGCGGCGGAUUAUUCCGAUAACUAAAGGGUAUAGAGAUAGAAGCAAAUCAAUAAAGAUUGAAUUGGAUUGGUUCGGUUGUUUAGAUGUAUUAGAUAACAAAUUAGGGGUUUGAGAAAUAUAAGGAGAUGACGAGAGAGAGAGUGAACCUGUUGCCCGGAACGGUCUGUCGUACCCACCUUCAUCUUCCGCGGCUCUUUUUUCGCCGAUCAAACAAUCGAAAUUGAUACAAUACAGCAGAGUGAGAAGAGACAAGCUUCAAUUUGCAUCUGCGAUUUCGCUUCAACCUAUUUUGCCUAUUUCACGAUUUUCUCUCUGUUUUUUUUCCUUUUUUUUUUUUUUUUAACAGGUCACGGUUUUAUCUCUUCUGGUUUUCUAUCCAAAACUACGAAGUGCCCGAACUACAAAAUUUCAGUUUUCAACAAAAUUAUUAAGGGUAUUUCCCUUUCUUCUUUUUUUUUAUAAUUUUUAAGAAAUCAAAAUAGUCUUUAGCUCUAUUAAUUUAGUCAAUUUGACCAUUAUAGUUCAAAAACCUAAUUUUUGCCCUCGAUUUAUUAGAUAUACAAAAUUACUAGGAAUAGCUCGGAUCUGAAUCGAGCACCAGUGAGGCUGGCUUAUUCUCUAAUGGUGUUUGAAUUUGGUGAAGGUAACGAUCGAAUUGGCAGACCGCUUACAUGGUAGUCUCAUUUAGGUCGCUUUUGAGCUAUCUACCAUGGCUUCAUUCUCUUAGCCCUUGCAUGCGGGUCAUGUUCUAAUUGCCUUCUUCAUUUUAGUUAUCAAAGGCUUCCCAUAUAGUGUAGGUCGCAAUGUCCAAAGCAAGCCACACAAAGUGUAGAAAUUAGCUCAAAACAACUUGCUAAAAACCCAAAACAAGACUUCAACCCAGGCCAACAAGAAGAAAGAGAGACGGCCUGCACCAAAAUUCACCCAGCCCACACCCACAAACUCCAGAAACCUAGCCAGCCGCCAGAGCCGGCUAACAUCGCCAAAUCAGUCUAGCGGUCUUCAAGAUCAUGGGCUCGUGGCCUUCAACACAGCUGUAAAGACACAAUAGCUCGCCACCACACUCUAAAUCCGCCUACUUCGAUUAUGGCUAUCCGCUUCUCUACUCUACAAGGUCUACUUUCUUCUUCCUUCCAGUCACUUCCUCAGAUUCUGGAUCCCUCUCUCAGGUUCGUCGAUCCUCUCAAGUUUCUUAUCUCAUUGGGCUUUAGUAUUAGUAUAUUAUGGCUCCACCUGAGCGAAAUUUUUCCAAUGUAUCACCACAAUUGUAAAACGUAGCAAUAAAUGCACCAUUUAUGGAGAGUCACAUUAUUAUCUCGAGAUAUUCUAUCUAUACUUAGUGUAAUUUUGAAUUAUGUGAAUUCAUUAAUGCUCAAGGUUUGAGCAGUCGUACUAUCCCUUUUUCUAUAAUAAAAAAGUUAUAAUUUUUAAGGUUCUAAGUAAGAUUAAAGAUUAAUAGCUUUUAACUCUAUUAAUCUAGUCAAUUUGACCGUUAUAGUUUAAACUUUAGACUUUCAAAAAUCUAAUUUUUUCCCUUGUUUUAUUAAAUACGAAGUUGCUAGGAAAUACAACAAUAAUCAACUAUUUACCACAACUAAGUCCAGUAAUUGUAUUCCCAUGCCGACCUCAUGCGCACAUAUUCUUCCUUUUAUAUCUUUUUAUGUUGAGAAAAAUUUAGUCCCUAAACUCAGGCAAGGUGAAGUUGAUACUUAUCUUAGAAACACUGUUUUGUUCAGUUGACAUAAUUGUCAUCAAAAUAAACUGAUAGAGGAAACAGGUUAGCUCAAAAUAAACUGGAUAACUUCAAUAUGAAACUAUCACAUAUAAUGGUUUCUGUGUGUACUUGCUCAAACUUCAGUCCAUAAUACUGUAGUACUAUGCCAAAACCCAAAACACGGAUAAAGAUUUUCAGUUACCUUGUGGCUGAACUUAUUCAAAGCAACCUCUCUUUUUGACACAUGAUUUUGGUCAACUCCACUUUUGCUCCCAACUCCAAUUGUGCUGAUAGUUCCUUCUUUUUCCCCUUCAGAAUCUAUGGGAGAGCCACUCAUUUUCUGUUCACCACUACUAGAGUUGUUUCCUGGGUACUCACUCCCAUGCAAACUGUGAUUACCAACAUUCCCUUCUAUCUUUACAACCAUCGCAUCAGAUGGUCCAAAGUAUGGAGCUUCCACUGCCAUAUUUUGUUCCAGAAAACUCGUUAGGAUUGAGAAUAUGCUGGUGCCGGGGGAUGCUAUGCACAUGGUGGUGAUGGUGCUCCACCUGGACCUGCUGAUGUUUGAUUGUGGAUUUCGGUUCUGGUUUUUCCUCAAAUGGCUUUUGUUCCGCAAGGAAAUCAAAUAUUGUCGAGUCCAGUCACUGUUGUUACUGCAGUCUUUGGAAUGAUAAAGGGGAGUGCUGUUUAAGUGACACUGAAAAACAGGAACCGAUUUGGCCUUCUCCUCCUCCGAGUUACUAUCUGUCUAUCUUGUGGAGAGUGACUAACAGGUUUCACACCUCCAGCCUGAUUAGAAGACGCAGGAAAACUGUACCUGCAUAACGCAAAAAACAUUCAAUUCGGAUCACAUAUAGGAUUUAUAUAUAGUAUGGAAUUACUGAUUCACUUUCUGAGUAGCUGCAUACCUUGAGGGGGCUGAAAGGUCUAAAUGUGUCAAAUCAUUUUGGUCUUGGUCACUGAAGCCAGUAUCUUGAGCAUCUGUCUGUGUCUUUAAACUGAGCUCAAGGGAAGCAAUUUCAUUGCUCUCAUUGAUGUCCUUAUCUCUUAUGCCGGGAACUUUGGAGACACUACUCGAGAUGUUUAACAUACCUGCUAAAAAUCAAGAUCAAUCAUAGUAAAACUUGAAAAGCAAGUAAAGAAGAUGGCACAAAGAGAAAACAAGAAAAAGGAAUACUGAAAUUGAUUAUUGUACAGAAGAGGAUUUCUUGCGUGAAUGAGAUACAUGGAAGAGCAGCCAUUUAUACUCAAAUGAGUAAAGACUGGAAAAGUAGGUUAGAAUAGCAUCUGACUUGGGCUUGUUGGGCUCAACAAAACUAUGGGUUGGGCUGAACAAGGCCUAAACCAUCUUAACAUCCCCCCUCAAACUAGUGUUGGGGGAUCCAAGAACUAGUUUGCAGUAAAGUUUCCUCUGUUAUGAGUGUAUCAACCCGGAGGAAUAAGGAAAAGUGAUCUCCAAAGCUUCAUAGGAUGAGAGACUUGCAACUGAGGAUCAGUGAUACUGUUGGUGGUGAUACCUAUCAGAUCAAUUCCUUGGUUUUCCAAGCACUUAUUUGGUUUUCAUUGUUGAGCUCCACUUGGCCUUUUUUUAGAUUAUCGUGAUUUUUCAGUGACUUGAUUCUAAAAAGUUUGUCUUUAUUAGUGACAACUAUGUUGAUCAUGCCUUUCUCCUUUGGUUCUUCAAGCUGCAGAUUUGGAAUUUUAGGAACUCCAAAACCCAAGUCUGUUCCUGUGAUAAUAGCACCUAAAGAUUGGAAAAGAGGGAAAAAUAUAGACAAGUAGACUUAAUUACCUACCAAGCUCUUCAUUCUGCCGUCCACACUCCCUUGUUGGACAUUGUGCUUGUUGGAGAAAGUAGAGCUUUAACAACCAUUCAGCCUCGUAGUAGCUUUUAACAACGAAUUCGUUAGCAUUUUGUAGGUCUUUCCAUAAAACAAUGUUAUGAGUCCUAUGAAUGAUCUAUCGAAAAACGAAGCUGAAUAUAUUAUAGAAAAUUUCACAACAGUCCUCUUUUCAAUAUUUUUUCCCUUAUAGAUCCACCUUGAACUUUUUACCCACAUAAGUCCACAUUUUGAUCCAAACCCAUCCGUUUAUUUUUUUCUAUACCUAAAUUACCCUCCCCUCCCUCUUUUCCCCAAAUCAGUUUCUCUGGUUCUCUCUCCCCUCCCUCCUUUCCCCAAAUCACUCACUCUCUCUCUCUCUC